rnacentral:rRNA from 1 species
GAUGAACGCUGGCGGCGUGCCUAAUACAUGCAAGUCGAGCGAACAGACGAGGAGCUUGCUCCUCUGACGCUAGCGGCGGACGGGUGAGUAACACGUGGAUAACCUACCUAUAAGACUGGGAUAACUUCGGGAAACCGGAGCUAAUACCGGAUAUUAUAUUGAACCGCAUGGUUCAAUAGUGAAAGACGGUUUUGCUGUCACUUAUAGAUGGAACCGCGCCGCAUUAGCUAGUUGGUAAGGUAACGGCUUACCAAGGCAACGAUGCGUAGCCGACCUGAGAGGGUGAUCGGCCACACUGGAACUGAGAAACGGUCCAGACUCCUACGGGGAGCAGCAGUAGGGAAUCUUCCGCGAUGGGCGAAAGCCUGACGGAGCAACGCCGCGUGAGUGAUGAAGGUCUUCGGAUCGUAAAACUCUGUUAUUAGGGAAGAACAAAUGUGUAAGUAACUAUGCACGUCUUGACGGUACCUAAUCAGAAAGCCACGGCUAACUACGUG